UAAACCACAAUAUUUUACUUAAGAAACUUGAUUUGUAUGUCAUGGAAUUACCAGCCUUGAAUCUACUAAAAAGUUAUUUAACUAACAGAACGCAAAUGUGCUCAGUUAACGGUGUAUUAUCCGGUACAAAGAUAGUUAGGUGUGGAAUUUCUCAAGGUUCCGUUAAUCUAAAUAAACGAUUUACCUGACAGUUUGGAGUAUUCGUCGGCAAGAAUGUUUUCUGACGAUACAACAUUAACUGCCUCAGGCGAAACAAUUUCGGAUGCAGAAGUGGCCAUCAAUCAUGA